GGGUUAAGGUCGGACAAGAAUUAGCUGGGGUAGCUUGUUUAAUAAAACUAGUGUUUUAAAGGACUUUUUGGUUUUUGGUCCUUAAGAUUAGGAUAAAUAGAAUAAAUUACUUUAGGGAUAACAGCGUUAUAAUUUUAGAAAGAUCUUAUUAGUAAAAUUGAUUGCGACCUCGAUGUUGAAUUAAAAGAGCUUUAUGGGGCAGCGGCUAUUUAAGCAGGUUUGUUCAACCUUUAUAAUUUUACAU
rnacentral:rRNA from 1 species